rnacentral:lncRNA from 1 species
UAGGUGCAAUUUUUGUGUGAUUCAGUCCUUCUAUCGUGAGUUCUGACUUGAUGGUAAGUCAUAGAUAAAUCAUCAAAUCUCAACAUCAGUCAUUUGAUAGAUUUAAUUAGCUCAAGUCCAAAAGUAAUUCACAUGAAAACUCUUUUCUAUUAACCACACUACGGUAGCCAUAGACUUAAAGACUCAGCCUCUCUAAUUUUAUAAGACUACUCUCUCUCAAGAUCAAUAAAUUCUAUUUAGAUGCGCACUCUGCUCCUACGGUGGAUCAACUGUCGCCAACAUACACUACAAGAACUCAAGUAGCUAAGAGGUCAUAUUUAUAUGUAGUCAAACUCCAGCAGUCUCACUGUGAGCUAUCGUGCCACUGCAGGUCAAAAGAUUAUUCACACAACUAUAACAUCGAAAUAAUUAUUGACGAUUGAGUAAACAUCCAUGUGAUCUCUUGUAUGGUCACAUUUAGUAUUAGUUGUUCUCUAAUAACUAUCCGUACUUGCCACUUAAUAUCUUUACACUGUAGAUUAGAAACUCAUCUAUCCUGAAGGAAACGAUCUGUACGUCAGUCUAUCCAGAUCGAUCAUCGUCCUCAUGAUGAUACUAUGACUGGAAGUAAUUUAAAAAUUAAUUAUACAUACCUCUAAUUCUCAAUACUUUGAGAAUAUGUAUCUUAAGCAUUAAUUUUUUAGAUGAUUUAAGGAUACAUCACACUUGAAUGAAGAUAAAACUUAUCCUUUUAUUGAUCAAAUCAAUGUUUUAAUAUAAAUUUGUAUCCUAGAAAAAUAUAAUGUGUCAGCCAUAUUGACUUUUAGGACAUACAUCUAACACAUACGACCACCGACAUUGAGACAUAUGAAUAGAGCAAUUAAGCCGAUACAUACUUAAAUUAACCUGGUUCACACUGAGUAUUGCAUAGUAUAUAAUUAUAUUACCAACAUAUACAGUUUAUAUAAUAUUAACCUACCGC